UUUAAAUAAAAAAGAUUAAAUUACAUAAAUUGAAAUUUGAACUUCCCCUUUUCAAUCUCAUUUCCUUUGUUUUUGGUUCCAAUGGAAUCAGAGAUAUAUCCGUUUGAAUCGGGUCAGAAUUGAGAACAGACUGUGGAUAUGGGCAGUCGAAAUCUGUAAAUUUAAAACCAUCUAUUUAGUAUUUCCACAAAAAAAAUGGUUUAUGCAUUCACGCAAGUGGCGGAGCGGCCUUUGGAGAGAUGCCUUCUACCGUGCUGAUUCUUCUCCCCAUUGGAGUGGCCAACCCUUCUGCAACUUUCUCCAGAUGUGGGAUCCUAUAGUUUAGGUCUCUCCUGAUAAGGAUGGGUUAGGUGAUUGUGGUUGACCCUUUGGAAGCCAAACUUAUGGGAGCGAAAAGAAAUGGAAAAGAUCAAAGCAAAAGAUAAGUUCAAGAGAAGACAUCAAAUGGAAGCGAUUAAUGAAGCAUGGGCAAUGAUCGACCUCACAAAGACAUUCUAGCCAAGUUGUGUGGACAGUGGAGGCUGAAGCAGCAGCAGAUUCAGGUGGUUCUCUUUUGGAAGAAUUUAUUGGCUAUGCAAUCAUAUAUCUUACUAUAAUUUGUUUCAACUUUUUAUAAGCUUUAUUAAUACACUUGAAUGAUUCAUUGUUCCAGCUUUAUACUCCA